ACGAAAAAGUUGGUCCGAGUGUUGUGGGUUAUUGUUAAGUUGAUUUAACAUUGUCUCCCCCCACAACCGCGCUUGACUAGCUUGACGUUU
rnacentral:Y_RNA from 1 species